rnacentral:rRNA from 1 species
UGGGGAAUUUUGGACAAUGGGCGAAAGCCUGAUCCAGCAAUGCCGCGUGUGUGAAGAAGACCUUCGGGUUGUAAAGCACUUUUGUCCGGAAAGAAAUCCUCUGGGUUAAUACCUCGGGGGGAUGACGGUACCGGAAGAAUAAGCACCGGCUAACUACGUGCCAGCAGCCGCGGUAAUACGUAGGGUGCAAGCGUUAAUCGGAAUUACUGGGCGUAAAGCGUGCGCAGGCGGUUUUGUAAGACGGAUGUGAAAUCCCCGGGCUUAACCUGGGAACUGCAUUCGUGACUGCAAGGCUAGAGUAUGGCAGAGGGGGGUAGAAUUCCACGUGUAGCAGUGAAAUGCGUAGAGAUGUGGAGGAAUACCGAUGGCGAAGGCAGCCCCCUGGGCCAAAUACUGACGCUCAUGCACGAAAGCGUGGGGAGCAAACAGGAUUAGAUACCCUGGUAGUCCACGCCCUAAACGAUGUCAACUAGUUGUUGGGGAUUCAUUUCCUUAGUAACGUAGCUAACGCGUGAAGUUGACCGCCUGGGGAGUACGGUCGCAAGAUUAAAACUUAAAUGAAUUGACGGGGUCAUAGCUGUUUCCU